rnacentral:rRNA from 1 species
CUACAAAGGAAUUGACGGGGCCCGCACAAGCGGUGGAGCAUGUGGUUUAAUUCGACGCAACGCGAAGAACCUUACCAGGGCUUGACAUCCCCUGACCGCGUAUGAAAGUACGUUUUCACCCUCGGGUGACAGGGAGACAGGUGGUGCAUGGUUGUCGUCAGCUCGUGUCGUGAGAUGUUGGGUUAAGUCCCGCAACGAGCGCAACCCCUACGUUUAGUUGCUAACGCGUGAAGGCGAGCACUCUAGACGAACUGCCGUUGACAAAACGGAGGAAGGUGGGGAUGACGUCAAAUCAUCAUGCCCCUUAUGUUCUGGGCUACACACGUGCUACAAUGGCCGGUACAGACGGACGCAAAGCCGCGAGGUGGAGCAAAUCCUAAAAAGCCGGUCUCAGUUCGGAUUGCAGGCUGCAAUUCGCCUGCAUGAAGUCGGAAUCGCUAGUAAUCGCAGGUCAGCAUACUGCGGUGAAUACGUUCCCGGGCCUU